rnacentral:rRNA from 1 species
AGUCGAGCGCGAAAACCCUUCGGGGUAAGUAGAGCGGCGGACGGGUGAGUAAUGCUUGGGAAUCUACCUAGUAGUGGGGGAUAACGUGUGGAAACGCACGCUAAUACCGCGUACGUCCUAAGGGAGAAAGCAGGGGAUCUUCGGACCUUGCGCUAUUAGAUGAGCCCAAGUCGGAUUAGCUAGUUGGUGAGGUAAUGGCUCACCAAGGCGACGAUCCGUAGCUGGUCUGAGAGGAUGAUCAGCCACACUGGGACUGAGACACGGCCCAGACUCCUACGGGAGGCAGCAGUGGGGAAUAUUGGACAAUGGGGGAAACCCUGAUCCAGCCAUGCCGCGUGUGUGAAGAAGGCUCUAGGGUUGUAAAGCACUUUCAGUAGGGAGGAAAAGUUUAAGGUUAAUAACCUUGAACCCUGACGUUACCUACAGAAGAAGCACCGGCAAACUCCGUGCCAGCAGCCGCGGUAAU